rnacentral:rRNA from 1 species
UACGUAGGGUGCAAGCGUUAAUCGGAAUUACUGGGCGUAAAGCGUGCGUAGGCGGUUUGUUAAGUCCGCUGUGAAAGCCCUGGGCUCAACCUGGGAAUUGCAGUGGAUACUGGCAAGCUAGAGUGCGGUAGAGGAUGGUGGAAUUCCCGGUGUAGCGGUGAAAUGCGUAGAUAUCAGGAAGAACACCCGUGGCGAAAGCGGCUCUCUGGAACGGUACUGACGCUGAGACGCGAAAGCGUGGGGAGCGAACAGG